GUAACAAGGUUUCCGUAGGUGAACCUGCGGAAGGAUCAUUAAAGAGUUAGGGUCUUCUCAGGCCCGACCUCCCAACCCUUUGUCUAUUGAACCCUUGUUGCUUCGGCGGGCCCGUCGUUAUACGGCCGCCGGAGGACCGACUCCAGGUCCUCUGGCCCGCGCCCGCCGGUAGCCAAAAUCACCAAACUCUUGAAUAAUCGUGUCUAUGAUGUCUGAGUACUUUUAUUAAAAUUAAGCAAAACUUUCAACAACGGAUCUCUUGGUUCUGGCAUCGAUGAAGAACGCAGCGAAAUGCGAUAAGUAAUGCGAAUUGCAGAAUUCCAGUGAGUCAUCGAAUCUUUGAACGCACAUUGCGCCCUUUGGUAUUCCGAAGGGCAUGCCUGUUCGAGCGUCAUUAUCACCCCUCAAGCCCUCCGGCUUGGUGUUGGACGGUCUGGUCGAGCUGCUCGACCCCUCCCAAAGACAAUGACGGCGGCCUGGUUGGACCCCCGGUACAUGGAGCUUCUUGAUUGAGCACGUAUCGGUUUCAAGGCGUCCCCGGGACCCGGUCUCACUCUCUCCCCUCGCGGGAGGGAACCCCCCUUUUUUCUAAGGUUGACCUCGGAUCAGGUAGGAAUACCCGCUGAACUUAAGCAUAUC
rnacentral:misc_RNA from 1 species